AUGGCCGGAGGAGCCAGCGGCGGCGGGGCGGUGGAGAUAACGCUGGAGCACACGCCGACGUGGAUCGUCGCGUCCGUGUGCUCCCUCAUCGUCCUCAUCUCCCUGCUCUUCGAGCGCCUGCUCCACCGCCUCGGCAAGGUCUGCAUCGUCCAUCAUUAA
rnacentral:rRNA from 1 species